CAAUAGCGUAUAUUAAAGUUGUUGCAGUUAAAAAGCUCGUAGUUGGAUUUCUGGCAGGAGCGACCGGUCACACACUCUGUGUGUGAACUUGCGUUGUCUCUGGCCAUCCUUGGGAAGAUCCUGUUUGGCAUUAAGUUGUCGGGCAGGGGAUACCCAUCGUUUACUGUGAAAAAAUUAGAGUGUUUAAAGCAGGCUUAUGCCGUUGAAUAUAUUAGCAUGGAAUAAUAAGAUAGGACUUCGGAACUAUUUUGUUGGUUUGCGUUACGAAGUAAUGAUUAAUAGGGACAGUUGGGGGUAUUCGUAUUUCGUUGUCAGAGGUGAAAUUCUUGGAUUUCCGAAAGACGAACUACUGCGAAAGCAUUUACCAAGGAUGUUUUCACUAA
rnacentral:rRNA from 1 species